rnacentral:lncRNA from 1 species
UCCGGUUGACGCAUAUGACUAUAGUAGCGGUUGUUGCAUGUAUACUUACAGUUCUUUCUUUACACUUGUCUUGCUACUAUAGUUUUGAUAUCCAUGUAUACAUUCAGUUCUUCUUUACAGUAGCGGUAGCUAUACAUUCUGUUAUUGUUCUACUUCCUAUUAGUGCUCCUCGCCUUCGUCGGCUUGCAGUACCCACUGGGAGGGGAGACAUGUUUACAUGUUCUCACCUCCCCCACCAUUUUUCCGAUAUUGCGAGCGGAGAGUGUUGAGAUGAGACGUGAGACACGUUCGUAACGGUCGAUAGAGUUUCUGAUCCAGUUUGUUUGGUUUAGUUGCUACCCUCCUUAUUUCUGUUGAUAUAACUUAGACAUGUGGUUCAGUUGACUUUCAUUUAAUUGGAUAAAUGUGAUUUUGGUAAAUGAAUUAAAGAACUUAUGUUUUUUUUUUAGAUGAAAAUGGUUUUCUACCCCUCGUAGUAGCGUGUUUUAAAGAAAAAGAGUUUCUGUGUGGGAAACGAUUUUGAAAGGGUUUUUAUUGGUUUCAUGACUCUUAGUGUUUCAAAAUAAGUUUUCGGGUAGGAAACAUUUUAAACUAAUAGAUUGGAAUUGCUAUUAUCUGUGAUGUGGUUUAUGUGUGUGGAUGUUUGUACUGUUGUGGUUGUAUUUUGUAUUUGUGCGACGCCGUGCAAAUACAGGAGAGACUCUGUCCGUGUAAACAGUGAAUUUUCUAUAUUUGUGGUGGAUCUGGCAUACCCUGGGAGUCAAUUUUUUUUUUUUUUUUUUUAAAUUUGGACGCUUCCGCAUUACUUUUAAAUCAAAAAGGGACCCCGGGGCGUGACACAUGCUAUG